ACGAACGCUGGCGGCGUGCCUAAUACAUGCAAGUAGAACGCUGAAGAGAGGAGCUUGCUCUUCUUGGAUGAGUUGCGAACGGGCGAGUAACGCGUAGGUAACCUGCCUUGUAGCGGGGGAUAACUAUUGGAAACGAUAGCUAAUACCGCAUAACAAUGGAUGACACAUGUCAUUUAUUUGAAAGGGGCAAUUGCUCCACUACAAGAUGGACCUGCGUUGUAUUAGCUAGUAGGUGAGGUAAUGGCUCACCUAGGCGACGAUACAUAGCCGACCUGAGAGGGUGAUCGGCCACACUGGGACUGAGACACGGCCCAGACUCCUACGGGAGGCAGCAGUAGGGAAUCUUCGGCAAUGGGGGCAACCCUGACCGAGCAACGCCGCGUGAGUGAAGAAGGUUUUCGGAUCGUAAAGCUCUGUUGUAAGUCAAGAACGGGUGUGAGAGUGGAAAGUUCACACUGUGACGGUAGCUUACCAGAAAGGGACGGCUAACUACGUG
rnacentral:rRNA from 1 species